rnacentral:rRNA from 1 species
UACGUAGGGGGCAAGCGUUGUCCGGAUUCAUUGGGCGUAAAGAGCGUGUAGGCGGCCAGGUAGGUCGGUUGUGAAAACUGGAGGCUCAACCUUCAGAGGUCGACCGAAACCAUCUGGCUAGAGUCCGGGAGAGGAGAGUGGAAUUCCUGGUGUAGCGGUGAAAUGCGCAGAUAUCAGGAAGAACACCCGUGGCGAAAGCGGCUCUCUGGAACGGUACUGACGCUGAGACGCGAAAGCGUGGGGACCGAACAGG